rnacentral:rRNA from 1 species
AGUCGAACGGAAAGGCCCCUUCGGGGGUACUCGAGUGGCGAACGGGUGAGUAACACGUGGGCAAUCUGCCCUGCACUUCGGGAUAAGCCUGGGAAACUGGGUCUAAUACCGGAUAGGACCUUUAGGCGCAUGUCUUUAGGUGGAAAGCUUUUGCGGUGUGGGAUGGGCCCGCGGCCUAUCAGCUUGUUGGUGGGGUGAUGGCCUACCAAGGCGACGACGGGUAGCCGGCCUGAGAGGGUGUCCGGCCACACUGGGACUGAGAUACGGCCCAGACUCCUACGGGAGGCAGCAGUGGGGAAUAUUGCACAAUGGGCGCAAGCCUGAUGCAGCGACGCCGCGUGGGGGAUGACGGCCUUCGGGUUGUAAACCUCUUUCACCAUCGACGAAGGUUCGGGUUUUCUCGGAUUGACGGUAGGUGGAGAAGAAGCACCGGCCAACUACGUGCCAGCAGCCGCGGUAAUACGUAGGGUGCGAGCGUUGUCCGGAAUUACUGGGCGUAAAGAGCUCGUAGGUGGUUUGUCGCGUUGUUCGUGAAAUCUCACGGCUUAACUGUGAGCGUGCGGGCGAUACGGGCAGACUAGAGUACUGCAGGGGAGACUGGAAUUCCUGGUGUAGCGGUGGAAUGCGCAGAUAUCAGGAGGAACACCGGUGGCGAAGGCGGGUCUCUGGGCAGUAACUGACGCUGAGGAGCGAAA